rnacentral:rRNA from 1 species
CCAGACUCCUACGGGAGGCAGCAGUGGGGAAUAUUGGACAAUGGGCGCAAGCCUGAUCCAGCAAUACCUCGUGUGUGAAGAAGGCCCUAGGGUUGUAAAGCACUUUCAAUUGGGACGAAAAGUUUAAGUUUAAUAAACUUAGACCUUGACGGUACCUUUAGAAGAAGCACCGGCUAACUCCGUGCCAGCAGCCGCGGUAAU